AAUAUGAUAUGAAGUGUUUCGGAAUGGUCGACAUUCCUAGUGUUAUGGUUAUGGACCGGGAGCAAACACUCUAUGUUUUGAGUCACCUAGCAUUGCUGGGAGGAACUUGUAUACCAAGAUUUAGAGAAGUUUCUGUUUUAAGUGUACAAUAGAUUCUUUUCAUUCUUCUUUUACUGUUGCAGGUCCAAUAUGUAUAUAUAAUAUAGGGGCAAGUUCUGUUUUGGUUCUGCAACUUCAAUUAAUUAUGUUGUUCUCUUUAAAUUAACUUUUGUUUAAUUUACUUUUGUUAAGAGAUAGUAGUUCCUAUCUAUGUUUUGUGCAGUUUCUAUUAGUGCGGGUCUGUUUCACUUCACGUUGUGAGGUCAUUACAAAAUCUUUUUAUUUUUCCAUGCUUCGUUGGACUUUGUCAAGGCUUGUCCCGGAAGAUAUUUGUACAGAUAGAGGCCCCGAUAUCAAGAGUUUGUGACCUCGACACUUAUUCUCCAUUCGCUUUUGAACCCUUCUUCAUGCCAACCAAGAAUAAGAUAUUGGAUGCAAUAUAAUUAA